AUCUCUUAGAGCCUUCGAUCUAGGAAGUCCUCUCGACUGUGGGUCUCGAGGAUCUUCGUGCAGAAUGGAGGUAGAGAUCCUCCGGGAGUAGAAUCAUGAUCGGACUGAGGGCUCUCCACCCUCAAAUUUGUCUUUUCGGGAAAGACGAGGCGACUGGCCCAAGUGGCCUGCCCUACCAUCGGAUUUUGGAGUUCUGAUGAUGUUCUCUCCAACCGCACCGAUGCCUGCUGCUGUUGUUGC
rnacentral:lncRNA from 1 species